rnacentral:rRNA from 1 species
UGGCAGGUUUUGUUCAGU